rnacentral:rRNA from 1 species
AGUGAACGCUGGCGGCGUGCCUAAUACAUGCAAGUCGAACGAAGUGGCGCACGGGUGAGUAAUAUAUAGUUAAUCUUCCCUACACUGAGGCACAACAGUUGGACACGACUGCUAAUAACCCACAGUGUAGGAUGAGACUAUAUCGUAUCAGUUAGCUGGUAAGGUAAUGGCUUACCAAGGCUAUGACGCGUAACUGGUCUGAGAGGAUGAUCAGUCACAUGAGAACGGAGACACGGUCAAGACUCCGAAGGGAGGCAGCAGUAAGGGACAAUGCGCAACGGAGGAUACCCUGACGGGGCAGCGCCUCGUGGAGGAUGACACUUUUGGGAGGGUAAGCACCUUUUAUCAGGAGAGCGGUACCGGAUGAAUAGGCACCGGCGAACUCCGUGCCAGCAGCCGCGGUAAUAC